UUUCUGCCUGCCUGCUUUCUAUCUGACUCCUUCUUUCGCUCUUUAGCAGCCUGGCUCUCCACAAUUUGCAUCCCAGGCUGAGCCAAGGGCUUGGCCAGUGGGCACUGCUGCCAAGGGGAGGGAGGCAGAGGCAGGAAUGAGGAAGGCCGUAAAAGGAAGGAGGGAGAGGGAAAGCGAGAGAAGGAGGGCCCAGGGCAGGGAAAGGCAUUGCAGAGAGAAUACGCACUUGGGGAAAAGCAGGGAGGAGAGAGGCAAAGACAGACAAGAUUCCACAAGAGAAAGGGCAUGUGAAGGAGGGAGAAAGCUGCUGCUUUUCUGUGGUUGUGUGGAGUGAGCUAACUCCCCCCGUCCACUCUUGAGCCUUGAUUUUUGCCGCUGGGAUGGAGCCCUUGGGGAUGUCCACCGUCCUCCUGGUCGUCUGCAUCUCCUGCCUUCUUCUCUCUGUCGUCUGGAAGAGGGGGGCCCAGGGGAAGGGCAAGAUGCCCCCCGGCCCCACCCCGCUGCCCCUCAUUGGGAACG